GCCUGGGUAGCUCAAUCGGUAGAGCGUGUGACUCUUAUUCCUUCACAGGAUAUGGGUUAAUCUCAAGGUCGCGGGUUCGAGCCCCGCCUCGGGCU
rfam:Pseudogymnoascus pannorum VKM F-3557 contig_1241, whole genome shotgun sequence.